CAGGUUGAAGGUGCAGUAACAUGCACUGGAGGACCGAACCCACAUCUGUUGAAAAAGAUCGGGAUGAGCUGUGCCUAGGGGUGAAAGGCCAAUCAAACUCGGAGAUAGCUGGUUCUCUGCGAAAUCUAUUUAGGUAGAGCGUCGUACGAAUACCCCGGGGGGUAGAGCACUGGAUGGGUAAUGGGGACUCACCGUCUUACUGAUC
rnacentral:rRNA from 13 species